UUUAUGCGGCAGCAUAGGACUGAACUGUGGGAGAACUUAUAUGAUUCUACCCCUUUUCAUACUUAUGCUGCUUCAGAG
rnacentral:pre_miRNA from 1 species